GAAGUACUCCAUCCGUCCCAAAAUUUUUGUCUUAAAUUUGUCUAAAUAUGGAUGUAUCAAGUCAUAUUUUAGUAUUAGAUACAUCCAUAUCUAGACAAAUCUAAGACAAGAAUUUUGGGACAGAGGGAGUACAUA
rnacentral:pre_miRNA from 1 species